rnacentral:rRNA from 1 species
GAUGAACGCUGGCGGCGUGCCUAAUACAUGCAAGUCGAGCGAACAGACGAGGAGCUUGCUCCUUUGACGUUAGCGGCGGACGGGUGAGUAACACGUGGGUAACCUACCUAUAAGACUGGGAUAACUUCGGGAAACCGGAGCUAAUACCGGAUAAUAUUUUGAACCGCAUUGUUCGAUAGUGAAAUAUGGCUUUGCUAUAACUUAUAGAUGGACCUGCGCCGUAUUAGCUAGUUGGUAAGGUAACGGCUUACCAAGGGGAGGAUACGUAGCCGACCUGAGAGAGUGAUCGGCCACACUGGAACUGAGACACGGUCAAGACGAUUACGGGAGGCAGCAGUAGGGAAUCUGCCGCAAUGGGCGAAAGCCUGACGGAGCAACGCCGCGUGAGUGAUGAAGGCCUUGGGAUCGUAAAACUCUGUUAUUAGGGAAGAACAAACGUGUAAGUAACUGUGCACGUCUUGACGGUACCUAAUCAGAAAGCCACGGCUAACUACGUG